rnacentral:lncRNA from 1 species
UAGAAAGGGAGGACACACCCCUCUCUGAGGGACAGGGGCACUGGUUGAGUGUUGCCAGGAUGUGGGCUGGGGAGGCCUCCUGGGAAGGGCAUUUGGUUGGAAGCAGAGACACCUGGCUUGCCUGAGAGGGUUGGGUGAGAUGGGAAUGAAGACUGGGAGGCUGACCAGAGCCAGCCAGCGCAUGUGGGGACCCAGGUGUGCAGACAGAGUCCACUCUGCGUGUGCACACUUAUACGUGGUUCACAGAGCUUCUCCCAUUUGAGUGACCUCACCCACUCCUCACAGGAUAGCUCUCCAAGGGCUUAUGUCUGGGAUCCUCACAGAGACUAGAAGUGUCUCCCAUCCCCAUCGCAGUCCCUGGCACUUCCUGGAUUGUCGAGCGGCUCCCUGCCUCUGCCCUUUUGUAUUCGGAGCUACAGCCUUGCCUCCCCUGUUCCCACCACCCUGACCACCCCUCAACACCAUCCCGCUGUCAGCUCCGCCGCCAACUGAGGCGACACCUGUUCAUGGAAACCCUGUGAGCCUCUUCUGUAUCCAUACACAAUAGAAGCAAACAAAACGUCUGGCCAGAGGCAGAAGUACAAAACAUAUAAAAGAAAUGACAUGGCAGAUACACAAACAUAUGAAAGGAAAACAGUGAAAGGAAGGAACAUGCAUGUGAUUGAUGAGAGCCAAGUCCAGAAGAAAAUGUAAUCCAAGGAACAGGAAAAAAAAUUCCCAGUAGUAGUCUCAGCUAUAGAAAAAUGUAAAAAAAACAUGAAUUCAAGAAAGUAGGCACUCAAAGCUGAAACAGAUGAAAUAACAAGGAAAGAAACUGACGGCACUUCUUCAAAACUCAUACAUGAGAAAUAGCAAGAAAAUGAACAGAUAUGGCUAAAAAUCAAUCUGAUAUCAAGGAAAGGCCUGAGAUAAUCAUGGUGAAUGAAGAGAAAAGAGACAUGCAUUAAAAAGAGAGAUAGCUAUGAAAGGUAUAAAAAAUAUCAAGACAAUGAAAAAAAGAAUAAAAAUAGAAUUUAAAACAGAAAACCUAACACAUGAAAAAGAAAAAGUAUUCAUCAAGAAAAUACAAGACAUCUUCCCUAGAAUGAAGAAUAGAAUUGCACCUCUAAAAAGCACACUUUGUUCCAGGAAAAACUGAUAAAGAACAAGAAAGAACUAUUCAGACAUAUAGAUUUAAAAAGAGAAAGAGAAAGGAAGAAAAGAAAGAAAAAAAAGAAAGAAAAAGCCAAGGGAAUAUCUCGUUAGAGGGUAUCCUCUUAGAUGGGACUCUUCGGCUGGCCUCAGUGUUGUCCCUACCAACAGUCAACACCAGAUGACAAUGGAGAAAUAUAUCCAAAUUCUGAGCAAAAGAAGGUGUGAUGCAAGAAUAUUUUAUUCAGCCAAGGUGUGCACAACUAUAAAGACCACAGAAACAUUCCCUAACGCAGAAAAUACAGAACUCAUGAGCCAUUCCUGAGUCAUUCCUAACGGUGCAAUUCAGCCAAUCAAGAGUUUGUUUGUUUGUUUGUUUGUUUAUUGAGACGGAAUCUCGCUCUGUUGCCCAGGCUGGAGUGCAGUGGUGUGAUCUCUGCUCUUUGCAACCUCCGCCUCCUGGGUUCAAGCUAUUCUCCUGCCUCAGUCUCCCAAAUAGCUGGGAUUACAGGCGCCUGCCUCCACGCCCAGCUAAUUUUUGUAUUUUUUAUAGAGAUGGGGUUUUGCCAUGUUGGCCAGGUUGGUCUCGAACUCCUGAACUUAAAUGAUCUGCCCGCCCAGACCUCCCAAAGUGCUGGGAUUACAGGCAUGAGCCACUGUGGCUGGACUUCAAUCAAGAGUUUAAAAAUAACAACUCAGAAAUGAAGAAGCAAUGGCAAAAAUACUGGUGGUGAGCCACAAAAUCAGUUUAAAUAUAAAAUGAAGGCCGGGCGGGGUGGCUCACAUCUGUAAUCCCAGCACUUUGGGAGGCUGAGGUGGGCAGAUCACCUGAGCUCAGGAGUUCAAGACCAGCCUGGCCAACAGGGUGAAACCCCGUCUCUACUAAAAAUACAAAAAUUAGCCAGGUGCGAUGGUGUUUGCCUGUAAUCCCAGCUACUCAGGAGACUGAGGCAGGAGAAUCGCUCAAACCCGGGAGGCAGAGCUGCAGUGAGCUGAGAUUGUGCCAUUGCACUCCAGCCUAGGUGACAAAGUGAGAUUCUACCUCAAAAAAAUAAAUAAAAAUAAAAUAAAAUGAAGUCCCAGCUACUUGAGAAACUAAGGCUGGAGGAUUCUUUGAGGCUGGUGAGAACAACAUAGUGAGACUUUGUUUCAAAAAGAAAGAAAAAAAGACUGUGGUGAGAAUUAAGGUUUCAGAGCAGAAGGAAAUGCAUAGACUUUAAAAACAAAAUCAAUAUAGGAAUAAACAAAUUGAGGAGAAAGAGCAAGCUAUUUCCUUAUCUUUAGAGCCUUGGAUUAUGCCAUCUAAAAAGGAAACCUUAUUAAGAACAAUUCUAGUUUCUUAAUGUUUCUCAUAAUAUUAACUUCAGGGAGAUCUUUUGGGAACUACUAAUUUUUGUGGGGAAGAAACAUCUACUUCAGUUUCUUUUUCUCCUGUUAGAUUCACAUAAAAUUAGAUUCAGAACUUUUCUUUUUAAAAUAGCAUUUUAAUAUAAGCAUUUCUAUUUAGCAUUCUACCUAGAAAUACCUUAGACAUACCUAGAAUGCUGUUCACCUAAUGUUAGUAGUUAUCUCUGGGUGGUUUUUGGUUUUUUGUUUUUAAGAGACAAGGUCUCGCUCUGUUGCCUGGGCUGGAGUGCAGUGUUGCAAUCAUGGCUCACUGCAGUCUCAACCUCCUGGGUUCAAGCGAUGAGGCUGAGGCUGGGACUACAGGUGUGCGUCACCACACCCAGCUAAUUAAAUUUUUCUUUUUUUUUUUUUUUUUUUUUGUACAGACAGGGUCUUACUAUGUUGCCCAGGUAGGUCUCAAACUCUCGGUCUCUCCCCUUGGCCUCCCAAAGCACUGGGAUUACAGCUGUAAGCUACCGCACCUGGCACUGAGUGGAGGUUUCCAUAAGAUCACCCAAACUGUCUUCAGUUCUUUAUAAUAAGAAUGUAUUAUUUUAAAAAAAAUAAUAGAGUCAUUAUUCUGAAAAAAUAAGAUUGGUGAAAUGUCUGUCUUCAGCAUGGUGUCUAGAGGCUUGUCAGUUUGAUUUAGUAAGAAAGCCUAAAGGACAUGUGUCAUGUCACAGGAAUGUGCAGUAAUAAGAUGGAAUUCAAACUAAGCAAAAAUUCAUACUGAAUUUCAAAAACAUCAUGGGCUAGGAAUUAUAACUUCUAAUUAAAACCGCCUGGAUGCAAUUUGAUCUAUGGAUUCAAUGCAAUCCCAAUCAAAAUCAAACACAAGCUAUUUUGUGGAUAUCAAUAAACGGAUUCUAAUGUUUAAAUGAAGAAGCAAAAGACUCAGAAUAUCCAACUUAAUACUGAAGAAGAACAAGGUAGAAGACUGACACCACUCUGACUUCAAUAUUUACUAUAAAGCUAUAGUGAUCGAGACAGCGUCCUAUCAGCAAAAGAACAGACAAAUAUAUCAAAAGACCACGAGAGAGAGAGCCUAGAAACAGAUCCACAUAAAGAUACUGAUUUUUUUUUUUUGUUUUUUGAGAUGGAGUCUCGCCAUGUUGCCCAGGCUGGAGUGCAAUGGCUCGAUCUCAGCUCACUGCAACCUCCACCUCCCAAGUUCAAAUGCCUCUCCUGCUGCAGCCUCCCGGGUAGCUGGGAUUCCAGGUGCCCGCCACCAUGCCCAGC